GGGACGAACGCUGGCGGCGUGCUUAACACAUGCAAGUCGAGCGGAAAGGCCCUUCGGGGUACUCGAGCGGCGAACGGGUGAGUAACACGUGAGUAAUCUGCCCCUAGCUCUGGGAUAGCUCCGGGAAACCGGGAUUAAUACCAGAUAUGACCACUUUAGACAUCUGCUGUGGUGGAAAGAAUUUCGGCUAGGGAUGAGCUCGCGGCCUAUCAGCUUGUUGGUGGGGUAACGCCUACCAAGGCGACGACGGGUA
rnacentral:rRNA from 1 species